rnacentral:rRNA from 1 species
UGGGGAAUAUUGGGCAAUGGGCGAAAGCCUGACCCAGCAACGCCGCGUGAUUGAAGAAGGUCUUCGGAUUGUAAAGAUCUGUCCUUGGGGACGAAAAAAAUGACGGUACCCAAGGAGGAAGCCCCGGCUAACUACGUGCCAGCAGCCGCGGUAAUACGUAGGGGGCGAGCGUUGUCCGGAAUUACUGGGCGUAAAGGGUGCGCAGGCGGUUUUUUAAGUCAGAUGUGAAAUACCCGGGCUUAACCUGGGGGGUGCAUUUGAAACUGGAAGACUUGAGUGCAGGAGAGGAAAGUGGAAUUCCUAGUGUAGCGGUGAAAUGCGUAGAUAUUAGGAGGAACACCAGUGGCGAAGGCGACUUUCUGGACUGUAACUGACGCUGAGGCACGAAAGCGUGGGGAGCAAACA